GAUGAACGCUAGCGGCAGGCUUAACACAUGCAAGUCGAGGGGCAGCACGGGUGUAGCAAUACACUGGGUGGCGACCGGCGCACGGGUGCGUAACGCGUAUGCAACCCACCCUGUGGCGGGGGAUAGGCCGUUGAAAGACGGAUUAAUACCCCAUAGGACUUCUUUUCCGCAUGGUAGAGAAGUUAAAGGUUUACUACCACAGGACGGGCAUGCGUUCCAUUAGGCAGUUGGCGGGGUAACGGCCCACCAAACCUGCGAUGGAUAGGGGUUCUGAGAGGAAGGUCCCCCACACUGGUACUGAGACACGGACCAGACUCCUACGAGAGGCAGCAGUGAGGAAUAUUGGUCAAUGGGCGGGAGCCUGAACCAGCCAAGCCGCGUGAAGGAAGACGGGCCUACGGCUUGUAAACUUCUUUUGAGAGGGAAUAAAAGGAGGGACGUGUCCCUUUUUGCAGGUACCUUUCGAAUAAGCAUCGGCUAACUCCGUGCCAGCAGCCGCGGUAAUACGGAGGAUGCAGGCGUUAUCCGGAUUUAUUGGGUUUAAAGGGUGCGCAGGUGGGGAAAUAAGUCAGUGGUGAAAGAUUGCCGCCCAACGGUAAUAUUGCCAUUGAAACUGUUUAUCUUGAGUGUGUUCGGGGCAUGCGGAAUGCGUGGUGUAGCGGUGAAAUGCAUAGAUAUCACGCAGAACUCCAUUGGCGAAGGCGGCAUGCCGGGCCACAACUGACACUGAGGCACGAAAGCGUGGGUAUCAAACAGGAUUAGAUACCCUGGUAGUCCACGCAGUAAACGAUGAUUACUGGGAAUUUGCGAUACACGGUAAGUUCUAGAGCGAAAGCGUUAAGUAAUCCACCUGGGGAGUACGCCGGCAACGGUGAAACUCAAAGGAAUUGACGGGGGCCCGCACAAGCGGAGGAACAUGUGGUUUAAUUCGAUGAUACGCGAGGAACCUUACCCGGGAUAGAACGUGGGGGGACGGUGUGUGAAGGCAUACUUCCAGCAAUGGUCCCUUACGAGGUGCUGCAUGGUUGUCGUCAGCUCGUGCCGUGAGGUGUCGGCUUAAGUGCCAUAACGAGCGCAACCCCUACCGCCAGUUGCCAUCAAGUAAAGUUGGGGACUCUGUCGGGACAGCCUGCGUAAGCAGUGAGGAAGGCGGGGAUGACGUCAAAUCAGCACGGCCCUUACAUCCGGGGCGACACACGUGUUACAAUGGGGGGGACAGCGGGCAGCGACCUGGCGACAGGCAGCGAAUCCCGAAACCCCCUCCAAGUUCGGAUCGGAGUCUGCAACUCGACUCCGUGAAGCUGGAUUCGCUAGUAAUCGCGCAUCAGCCAUGGCGCGGUGAAUACGUUCCCGGGCCUU
rnacentral:rRNA from 1 species